GUCACCACUUAAGGACUCUAUACACAAGCUAAUUUGUAACAUAUCGACUUGACGAAGACAAAUAUUAUCAGGUUUACUUUACAAGUUCGCAAUUAACGGUUCAAAUCUUCAAAAGAGUCUUAAGAGUUGAAGUGUGCUUGGUGACGACAAGCAAUUCUAAAUCAUCAUAAAAGAUCUUGUAAUAUUCAGCAUUCAUAAUGGUCAAUCCAGCCAAAAGUAACUGGCUGUUAGUAUAUGCUGCUGUUUUAGUUGCUGUUCCAAUUGUUGCUGUGGUUGUUGCUGGAAUUGUUGCUCUUAAAGUUGUUUUGUGGAGUUAUUCGUACUUGACCGACUAAGUAAAUAAGGAGUUGAAAAUAUUUAGCUCUAUUUAGUUUAAGCAUACUUAAAUCUUUCAAAUUUGUAAGUUUUGUCGAUUCUCCAAAAAUAUGGAUUGUACUCCUUUA